AGUCCAUCAAAUCAGGUGUGUCGCUUUAGAAUCGCCUUUAGUUGGGACACGCCCACUCGUCCGCAGAGACCCUACUUGGUUUUAGUGGGUGUAUCAGUCAGUUGGGGCCGGUAACUCUUCCGACUGAUCUGAUUGGACGGAUUUUCAGCUCAAAUCCAAGAAGUUUGAGAUGAGAAAUGGAUUCAAAGCAUAGGAGAAGAAGAGUAGAAAGACAAGAAGAAGGUAAGGAGAAGAAAAGUUUGUUGAUUGUAACACUGUUUUUUCCACCUGUGACAUAAUGCGCUCCUUGUGUUUUUGGCAGGAUUGUGACGUCAUAAAGGUGGUGAACAGGAGUAAUGAUGAGCAGCCAAAUGUUGACAUGCACCUGCUCUCCAGUUUAUGUCUGUGAUUUGGCCGGGUCCCAGAGGAACCCAGCUGUGUGGGAAGGUUCAAGGUGAUGGGUCCAGCCUGCACUGGUCGGCUCACACCUGCGCUCCCAUCCAGGAACGCCGUCGACCCCGCUGCCGGCGAGCCACUCAGGAGCUCGUUGGACCAGAACAACGAUGGCGCUCAGCUUCCUGGAGUUCUGGCAGCUGAUUGGCUGCUUGGGAGCAAGCAUGGGGGCUUCAGCCAAUAGAGCGUCCUC